rnacentral:rRNA from 1 species
GACGAACGCUGGCGGCGUGCCUAAUACACGCAAGUAGAACGCUGAAGGAGGAGCUUGCUUCUCUGGAUGAGUUGCGAACGGGUGAGUAACGCGUAGGUAACCUGCCUGGUAGCGGGGGAUAACUAUUGGAAACGAUAGCUAAUACCGCAUAACAGUAGAUAUCGCAUGAUAGCUGCUUGAAAGGUGCAAUUGCACCACUACCAGAUGGACCUGCGUUGUAUUAGCUAGUUGGUGAGGUAACGGCUCACCAAGGCAACGAUACAUAGCCGACCUGAGAGGGUGAUCGGCCACACUGGGACUGAGACACGGCCCAGACUCCUACGGGAGGCAGCAGUAGGGAAUCUUCGGCAAUGGACGGAAGUCUGACCGAGCAACGCCGCGUGAGUGAAGAAGGUUUUCGGAUCGUAAAGCUCUGUUGUAAGAGAAGAACGAGUGUGAGAGUGGAAAGUUCACACUGUGACGGUAUCUACCAGAAAGGAC